rnacentral:rRNA from 1 species
GACGAACGUUGGCGGCGUGCUUAAUACAUGCAAGUCAACUGAAGCAGUGGUAGCAAUAUCGCUGUGGAGGUGGCGCACGGGUGAGUAACACGUAGGUAAUCUGCCUUCAGGUCUAGCAUAACUCCGGGAAACCGGGGCUAAUAGCAGAUGAUGCAGCGGCUCGACAUCGAGACAGUUGUUAAAGCUAUGGCGCCUGAAGAUGAGCCUGCGUCUGAUUAGCUAGUUGGCGGGGUAACGGCCCACCAAGGCAACGAUCAGUAGCUGGUCUGAGAGGAUGAUCAGCCACACUGGAACUGAGACACGGUCCAGACUCCUACGGGAGGCAGCAGUAAGGAAUAUUGCUCAAUGGGAGAAAUACUGAAGCAGCAACGCCGCGUGAGGGACGAAGGGCUUUUGCUUGUAAACCUCUGUAGUGAGAGAAAAAAAUCCCAAUCUUUGGGACAUGAUGGUAUCUCAAAAGUAAGCCCCGGCUAACUACGUG